rnacentral:rRNA from 1 species
UGGGGAAUCUUGGACAAUGGGGGCAACCCUGAUCCAGCCAUGCCGCGUGAGUGAUGAAGGCCUUAGGGUCGUAAAGCUCUUUCGCCUGUGAAGAUAAUGACGGUAGCAGGUAAAGAAACCCCGGCUAACUCCGUGCCAGCAGCCGCGGUAAUACGGAGGGGGUUAGCGUUAUCCGGAUUUAUUGGGCGUAAAGAGCUCGUAGGCGGUUCGGUAAGUCGGGUGUGAAAACUCUGGGCUCAACCCAGAGAGGCCACUCGAUACUGCUGUGACUAGAGUGCGGUAGGGGAGCGGGGAAUUCCUGGUGUAGCGGUGAAAUGCGCAGAUAUCAGGAGGAACACCAGUGGCGAAGGCGCCGCUCUGGGCCGUAAACUGACGCUGAGGAGCGAAAGCAUGGGUAGCAAACAGGAUUAGAUACCCUGGUAGUCCACGCCGUAAACGAUGAAUGUUAGCCGUCGGGCAGUAUACUGUUCGGUGGCGCAGCUAACGCAUUAAAACAUUCCGCCUGGGGAGUACGGUCGC